rnacentral:rRNA from 1 species
CCUCCUUUAGAGUUUGGAUCCUGGCUCAGAUUGAACGCUGGCGGCAGGCCUAACACAUGCAAGUCGAGCGGUAACAUUUCUAGCUUGCUAGAAGAUGACGAGCGGCGGACGGGUGAGUAAUGCUUGGGAACAUGCCUUGAGGUGGGGGACAACCAUUGGAAACGAUGGCUAAUACCGCAUAAUGUCUACGGACCAAAGGGGGCUUCGGCUCUCGCCUUUAGAUUGGCCCAAGUGGGAUUAGCUAGUUGGUGAGGUAACGGCUCACCAAGGCGACGAUCCCUAGCUGGUUUGAGAGGAUGAUCAGCCACACUGGAACUGAGACACGGUCCAGACUCCUACGGGAGGCAGCAGUGGGGAAUAUUGCACAAUGGGCGCAAGCCUGAUGCAGCCAUGCCGCGUGUGUGAAGAAGGCCUUAGGGUUGUAAAGCACUUUCAGUCAGGAGGAAAGGUUAGUAGUUAAUACCCUGCUAAGCUGUGACGUACU